GCAAUUUGGUUUUCCCUUCCUUCAUUUUCCAUUCCUUUCCUUUGUCUUUUCUUCUCUUUUCCUUUCUGCUUUGCUAGACAUGAAUGGGGAGGGAAGAGGGGGAGAUGAGAGACCGAAAAUGGAGGAAAUGGUGAAGGAAAAGCUGGUCUUUAUGUGGGGAUACCUUCCGGGAGCCUUGCCGCUAAGGGCGCCGAUUUUGUCUCCGGUCGUUGUGCGCCCCGAUGAAUACACUUGGAAGGACGUUUGCGGCGGCGGUUGCGGUUUCGCCAUGGCUAUUUCUGAGUCUGGAAAACUCAUAACUUGGGGUUCAACAGACGAUCUAGGUCAAAGCUAUGUGACAUCCGGGAAGCAUGGGGAAAUUCCUAAGCCUUUCCCUCUCCCAACUGAGUUCUCUAUCGUAAAAGCUGCAGCUGGUUGGGCCCAUUGUGUAGCAGCUACAGACACAGAUGGUGGAGAAGUUUAUACGUGGG
rnacentral:misc_RNA from 1 species